CAGUCGCCACGGGAAUACGAAGGGGGCUAGCGUUGUUCGGAUUUACUGGGCGUAAAGGGCGCGUAGGCGGACUGAUAAGUCAGGGGUGAAAUCCCACGGCUCAACCGUGGAGGGUCAUUGGAAACUGUUAAACUUGAGUGCAGGAGAGAAAAGUGGAAUUCCUAGUGUAGCGGUGAAAUGCGUAGAGAUUAGGAGGAACACCAGUGGCGAAGGCGGCUUUUUGGCCUGUAACUGACACUGAGGCGCGAAAGCGUGGGGAGCAAACAGGAUUAGAUACCCCCGUAGUCCCUGUCUCUUAUAC
rnacentral:rRNA from 1 species